rnacentral:rRNA from 1 species
UAGUCCACGCUGUAAACGAUGAGUGCAAGGUGUUGGGGGUAAGACCUCGGUGCCGCCGUUAACACAGUAAGCACUCCGCCUGGGGAGUACGUACGCAAGUAUGAAACUCAAAGGAAUUGACAGGGACCCGCACGAGUAGCGGAGUAUGUGGUUUAAUUCGAUGCAACGCGAAGAACCUUACCAGGGCUUGACAUAAAAGUGACGAGGGAUAGAGAUAUUCCUUUUCUCUUCGGAGACAGUUUUAC